AAUAGAUGAUGCCGUUGACUUUUUCUCACAUGUUUGACCAUUCGUCUUAUUCAAAAAAUUUACGUAAUUAUAAUUAUUUUGUUAUGAGUUGUUUUAUUACUCAUAGUACUUUAAGUGUGAUUUAUAUCUUAUACAUUUGCAUAAAAUUUUUGAAAAAGACGAAUGAUUAAACAUGUGAGAAAAAGUUAACGGCGUCAUCUAUU
rnacentral:pre_miRNA from 1 species